UACAGAGGUCUCAAGCGUUGUUCGGAUUCAUUGGGCGUAAAGGGUGCGUAGGCGGCGCGGUAAGUCGGGUGUGAAAUCUCGGAGCUUAACUCCGAAACUGCAUUCGAUACUGCCGUGCUUGAGGACUGGAGAGGAGACUGGAAUUUACGGUGUAGCGGUGAAAUGCGUAGAUAUCGUAAGGAAGACCAGUGGCGAAGGCGGGUCUCUGGACAGUUCCUGACGCUGAGGCAACGAAGGCCCAGGGGAGCAAACGGG
rnacentral:rRNA from 1 species